AAGAGACGUUGCCCUUCGGGGUAUACCUCCCACCCUUCUGUUUAUUAUACCUUUGUUGCUUUGGCGGGCCCGUCCUCGGACCACCGGCUUCUGCUGGUCAGUGCCCGCCAGAGGACCUAAAACUCUGUUUGUUAAUAUUGUCUGAGUACUAUAUAAUAGUUA
rnacentral:misc_RNA from 1 species